UACGUAGGGUGCAAGCGUUAAUCGGAAUUACUGGGCGUAAAGCGUGCGCAGGCGGUGAUGUAAGACAGUUGUGAAAUCCCCGGGCUCAACCUGGGAACUGCAUCUGUGACUGCAUCGCUGGAGUGCGGCAGAGGGGGAUGGAAUUCCGCGUGUAGCAGUGAAAUGCGUAGAUAUGCGGAGGAACACCGAUGGCGAAGGCGGCCCCCUGGGACCGGUACUGACGCUGAGGCGCGAAAGCGUGGGUAGCAAACGGG
rnacentral:rRNA from 1 species